UACGGGGGGGGCAAGCGGUUGUUCGGAAUUACUGGGCGUAAAGGGCGCGUAGGCGGCCUUCUAAGUCGGACGUGAAAUCCCUCGGCUUAACCGAGGAACUGCGUCCGAUACUGAAAGGCUUGAAUCCGGGAGAGGGAUGUGGAAUUCCAGGUGUAGCGGUGAAAUGCGUAGAUAUCUGGAGGAACACCGGUGGCGAAGGCGGCAUCCUGGACCGGUAUUGACGCUGAGGCGCGAAAGCUAGGGGAGCAAACGGGAUUAAGAAACCC
rnacentral:rRNA from 1 species